AGCGAACGCUGGCGGCAGGCUUAACACAUGCAAGUCGAGCGCCCCGCCAGGGGAGCGGCUGACGGGAGAGUACCACGUGGGAACAUACCUUUUGGUUCGGAACAACUGAGGGAAACUUCAGCUAAUACCGGAUAAGCCCUUACGGGGAAAGAUUUAUCGCCGAAAGAUUGGCCCGCGUCUGAUUAGCUAGUUGGUGAGGUAACGGCUCACCAAGGCGACGAUCAGUAGCUGGUCUGAGAGGAUGAUCAGCCUCACUGGGACUGAGACACGGCCCAGACUCCUACGGGAGGCAGCAGUGGGGAAUAUUGGACAAUGGGGGCAACCCUGAUCCAGCCAUGCCGCGUGAGUGAUGAAGGCCUUAGGGUUGUAAAGCUCUUUUGCCCGGGAAGAUAAUGACGGUACCGGGAGAAUAAGCCCCGGCUAACUUCGUG
rnacentral:rRNA from 1 species